AGAGUUUGAUCCUGGCUCAGAUUGAACGCUGGCGGCAUGCCUUACACAUGCAAGUCGAACGGCAGCACGGGUGCUUGCACCUGGUGGCGAGUGGCGAACGGGUGAGUAAUACAUCGGAACAUGUCCUGUAGUGGGGGAUAGCCCGGCGAAAGCCGGAUUAAUACCGCAUACGAUCUACGGAUGAAAGCGGGGGACCUUCGGGCCUCGCGCUAUAGGGUUGGCCGAUGGCUGAUUAGCUAGUUGGUGGGGUAAAGGCCUACCAAGGCGACGAUCAGUAGCUGGUCUGAGAGGACGACCAGCCACACUGGGACUGAGACACGGCCCAGACUCCUACGGGAGGCAGCAGUGGGGAAUUUUGGACAAUGGGCGAAAGCCUGAUCCAGCAAUGCCGCGUGUGUGAAGAAGGCCUUCGGGUUGUAAAGCACUUUUGUCCGGAAAGAAAUCCUUGGCUCUAAUACAGUCGGGGGAUGACGGUACCGGAAGAAUAAGCACCGGCUAACUACGUGCCAGCAGCCGCGGUAAUACGUAGGGUGCGAGCGUUAAUCGGAAUUACUGGGCGUAAAGCGUGCGCAGGCGGUUUGCUAAGACCGAUGUGAAAUCCCCGGGCUCAACCUGGGAACUGCAUUGGUGACUGGCAGGCUAGAGUAUGGCAGAGGGGGGUAGAAUUCCACGUGUAGCAGUGAAAUGCGUAGAGAUGUGGAGGAAUACCGAUGGCGAAGGCAGCCCCCUGGGCCAAUACUGACGCUCAUGCACGAAAGCGUGGGGAGCAACAGGAUUAGAUACCCUGGUAGUCCACGCCCUAAACGAUGUCAACUAGUUGUUUGGGGAUUCAUUUCCUUAGUAACGUAGC
rnacentral:rRNA from 1 species